UACGAAGGGGGCUAGCGUUGUUCGGAAUUACUGGGCGUAAAGCGUGCGCAGGCGGCUUCUCAAGUCAGGGGUGAAAGCCCAGAGCUCAACUCUGGAAUUGCCUUUGAGACUGAGUGGCUUGAGUACGAGAGAGGUGAGUGGAAUUCCCAGUGUAGAGGUGAAAUUCGUAGAUAUUGGGAAGAACACCGGUGGCGAAGGCGGCUCACUGGCUCGUAACUGACGCUCAUGCACGGCAGCGUGGGGAUCAAACAGG
rnacentral:rRNA from 1 species